rnacentral:rRNA from 1 species
UGGGGAAUAUUUCGCAAUGGGGGCAACCCUGACGAAGCGACGCCGCGUGGAGGAUGAAGGUCUUCGGAUUGUAAACUCCUGUCGGGCGGAACGAAAUUUCCGAAGGUAAAUAAUCUCCGGAAAUGACGGUACUGCCGAAGGAAGCCACGGCCAACUCUGUGCCAGCAGCCGCGGUAAUACAGAGGUGGCGAGCGUUGUCCGGAUUGACUGGGCGUAAAGGGCGCGUAGGCGGCUUGGUAAGUCAACUGUAAAAUCUAUGGGCUCAACCCAUAGUUCGCAGUUGAAACUGCUUUGCUUGAGUAUAGGAGAGGAGAGUGGAAUUCCUGGUGUAGCGGUGGAAUGUGUAGAGAUCAGGAAGAACACCGGUGGCGAAGGCGGCUCUCUGGUCUAAUACUGACGCUAAUGCGCGAAAGCUAGGGGAGCAAACG